rnacentral:rRNA from 1 species
UAGAGUUUGAUCCUGGCUCAGGAUGAACGCUGGCGGUAUGCUUAACACAUGCAAGUCGAACGGGAUGCUUAGGCAUCUAGUGGCGGACGGGUGAGUAACGCGUGAGAAUCUGGCUCCAGGUCGGGGAUAACAGUUGGAAACGACUGCUAAUACCGGAUGUGCCGAGAGGUGAAAGAUUUAUUGCCUGGAGAUGAGCUCGCGUCUGAUUAGCUAGUUGGUGGUGUAAGGGACCACCAAGGCGUCGAUCAGUAGCUGGUCUGAGAGGAUGAUCAGCCACACUGGGACUGAGACACGGCCCAGACUCCUACGGGAGGCAGCAGUGGGGAAUUUUCCGCAAUGGGCGAAAGCCUGACGGAGCAAUACCGCGUGAGGGAGGAAGGCUCUUGGGUCGUAAACCUCUUUUCUCAAGGAAGAAGAAAGUGACGGUACUUGAGGAAUAAGCAUCGGCUAACUCCGUGCCAGCAGCCGUGGUAAUACGGAGGAUGCAAGCGUUAUCCGGAAUGAUUGGGCGUAAAGGGUCUGCAGGUGGAACUGAAAGUCUGCUGUUAAAGAGUUUGGCUUAACCAAAUAAAAGCGGUGGAAACUACAGAACUAGAGUGCGGUAGGGGCAAAAGGAAUUCCUGGUGUAGCGGUGAAAUGCGUAGAUAUCAGGAAGAACACCGGUGGCGAAAGCGUUUUGCUAGACCGUAACUGACACUGAGGGACGAAAGCUAGGGGAGCGAAUGGGAUUAGAUACCCCAGUAGUCCUAGCCGUAAACGAUGGAUACUAGGCGUGGCUUGUAUCGACCCGAGCCGUGCCGGAGCUAACGCGUUAAGUAUCCCGSCUGGGGAGUACGCACGCAAGUGUGAAACUCAAAGGAAUUGACGGGGGCCCGCACAAGCGGUGGAGUAUGUGGUUUAAUUCGAUGCAACGCGAAGAACCUUACCAAGACUUGACAUCCUGCGAAUCCCGGUGAAAGCUGGGAGUGCCUUAGGGAGCGCAGAGACAGGUGGUGCAUGGCUGUCGUCAGCUCGUGUCGUGAGAUGUUGGGUUAAGUCCCGCAACGAGCGCAACCCUCGUUUUUAGUUGCCAGCAUUAAGUUGGGCACUCUAGAGAGACUGCCGGUGACAAACCGGAGGAAGGUGAGGAUGACGUCAAGUCAGCAUGCCCCUUACGUCUUGGGCUACACACGUACUACAAUGCUACGGACAGAGGGCAGCAAGCCAGGGAUGGCAAGCGAAUCCAGAAACCGUAGCUCAGUUCAGAUCGAAGGCUGCAACUCGCCUUCGUGAAGGAGGAAUCGCUAGUAAUUGCAGGUCAGCAUACUGCAGUGAAUUCGUUCCCGGGCCUUGUACACACCGCCCGUCACACCAUGGAAGUUGGUCACGCCCGAAGUCAUUACCCCAACCGAAAGGAGGGGGAUGCCUAAGGUAGGACNUGGUGACUGGGGUG